AUUGAACGCUGGCGGCAUGCCUUACACAUGCAAGUCGAACGGCAGCACGGGAGCAAUCCUGGUGGCGAGUGGCGAACGGGUGAGUAAUAUAUCGGAACGUGCCCAGUAGUGGGGGAUAACUGCUCGAAAGAGCAGCUAAUACCGCAUACGACCUGAGGGUGAAAGGGGGGAUCGCAAGACCUCUCGCUAUUGGAGCGGCCGAUAUCAGAUUAGCUAGUUGGUGGGGUAAAGGCCUACCAAGGCAACGAUCUGUAGUUGGUCUGAGAGGACGACCAGCCACACUGGGACUGAGACACGGCCCAGACUCCUACGGGAGGCAGCAGUGGGGAAUUUUGGACAAUGGGCGCAAGCCUGAUCCAGCAAUGCCGCGUGCAGGAAGAAGGCCUUCGGGUUGUAAACUGCUUUGUUCAGGGAA
rnacentral:rRNA from 1 species